rnacentral:tRNA from 1 species
AUUAAGGUAGCAAAGCAUGGCUAUGCAAAAGGCUUAAAACCUCGACACGGGUGUUCAAAUCACCCCCCUAAUA